AGUGAACGCUGGCGGUAGGCCUAACACAUGCAAGUCGAACGGCAGCACAGUAAGAGCUUGCUCUUACGGGUGGCGAGUGGCGGACGGGUGAGGAAUACAUCGGAAUCUACUUUUUCGUGGGGGAUAACGUAGGGAAACUUACGCUAAUACCGCAUACGACCUACGGGUGAACGCAGGGGAUCUUCGGACCUUGCGCGAUUGAAUGAGCCGAUGUCGGAUUAGCUAGUUGGCGGGGUAAAGGCCCACCAAGGCGACGAUCCGUAGCUGGUCUGAGAGGAUGAUCAGCCACACUGGAACUGAGACACGGUCCAGACUCCUACGGGAGGCAGCAGUGGGGAAUAUUGGACAAUGGGCGCAAGCCUGAUCCAGCCAUACCGGGUGGGUGAAGAAGGCCUUCGGGUUGUAAAGCCCUUUUGUUGGGAAAGAAAAGCAGCAGGCUAAUACCCCGCUGUUCUGACGGUACCCAAAGAAUAAGCACCGGCUAACUUCGU
rnacentral:rRNA from 1 species